UCUCUGGGCAACCCAUGCAAGUGCCUCACCACUCUCCGAGUAAAGAAUUUCUUCCUAGCAUCUAAUCCAAAUUUUCCCACUCCCCACUAUCAGACUAUGAGUAUGGGUGCGGCAAGCAGGACUGUCAUUUUAUUUUGUUGAAAUCACUUUUCCAUGUCAAACAUAACAUUCCCUGAAAACUCACUAGAUCUGAGCACAGUUUUCUAUCUUUCAGUAAAAAUAAACAAGGCAGCCAAAGAAUAAAGCUGUAGGUAACACUAACCACCUUGAAAGGAAUUGCCUCAUUUCACUUACCCAUAAAGAUUUCACAGUAGAGUACGCUUUUGGUUUUUCAACUACAGUUCAUUCAAACUACAUACAAAACAACCUUAUAUAUAGAAAUAAUACUCGUACAAAGUAAUCAACAAAAGGAGGUUAGUGAAAAAUUGUCAUUCCAGACUCCAGAGAUCUGAAUGAACAAUUGUCCAAACUUCCUGUUUCCCUUCCUCUUCUCCCCUCUACAGUUAUUUUUUCACCUUUAUUCCCUGCUACUGCAAGACAGAAAAGUAUUUUAUUUGUGUUGUGGUAGUACAUAAGAACUCAUAAACAAACACCACUGUGUUACGUGUUUUAUAAACUUUGGAGUAUUACAACAUUCUUUCUACCAAUGAACACAGUUAAAAUUGUAACAUUUGUUCUCACAUUGAUCAACUCCUUCCUUUCAGCCUUUCCCAUUACUGAAGACUGUCUAAGAUAUAAACAUGUAGAAGUAGAAAUAAAGAUUUUUAACAGAUCAGAUCUCUACGAAUUAAGAGUAGCUUGGAUGGGGUCAACAGAUUCAUAAUGAUUUAUAGCAGCUGGAGAUGCAUAUCCCAUGGCAUAUUGGUCCCAUACACAUAUUUGGGAAGAAAAAAAAAAUAAUCAGCAAUGUUUUUACAAUGUUUUACAUGAAUCUUCAAUAGAAGCUCAACAAAUAUUUUGAACCUUCACCCUAAGAACAUAUUGAAUUGUGAAAAUUGAGCUGUUCUUUUGAUGUAGCAAGUUGAGAGCUCUUAGUGAAUCAACUUUAUAAUGAAUUCUUUCAGAUACUGAUGAAAAUGGUUCACUUACUAAGGAACUUAGCUUGAUUUUGAAAUUAAUGUGGUAAUUUAAAACUACUUUGAUAAAAAAGGUUUAAUGACAUCUGAAACCUGAAAAGGAUAAAAGAUAGAGGCUCAGCGAAUAAAGCGUUUACUGUUCCUGUUCUCCAUUUUUAGCUGAUGACUAACAUCAGUACUGUUUUCCAGGAGCAUUAUUUGUUAUCACAUAACAAAUAGUUCAAGUCCAGUUCUUCGUAUCUGGUGGACAGACAUGAUAUGAAAUCUCCCAGGUAAAUUCUGGCUAGAUUGAAACUAGUAGCAAAACUCCAUUAUUUCUAUGGUCUCAGCUUGCUUUUAACCUUCACAAAAUAAUUUAAUGAAAGAAAUUGAGAAACAGAAAAUGCUAUAAGCUGUGGAUCACCAGUUCACUGUCGCAUUAUAUCCUACCGUCUCAAAAAACUGCAGUAUUCACCCUUGAUGCCUAAAAUUAUCAUCUCUAAGGACAUGUUCUUGAUACGAUGUAAAAGAUGAGGACAAGCAAAGGAUUAUUUUCAGAGGCUUGGAUUUGGUCAUCAAUAAAAAGCUGUUCAUAUGACCAGGAACAGCAUAAUCUUAUUUUCUCAAUGCAUUAGGAAAUGAUUCAUUAUCUAAUCUUAUUUACAUCAUGGGCAUCCAAGUCAUUCUCUUACUCUUUUUUUAAUCCUUAAAUCCCAGCUAAAUAGAUUAUACCAGUACAAUUUCUGUUUGAAAAUCCUACUUCUGAUUGCCUUCUGGUAAAAAAAAAUAAAUACUAUCGUAUGUACUCAGU
ensembl:lncRNA